rnacentral:rRNA from 1 species
AUCCCCCACACUGGUACUGAGACACGGACCAGACUCCUACGGGAGGCAGCAGUGAGGAAUAUUGGACAAUGGGCGCAAGCCUGAUCCAGCCAUGCCGCGUGCAGGAUGACGGUCCUAUGGAUUGUAAACUGCUUUUGUACGAGAAGAAACACUGCUUCGUGAAGCAGCUUGACGGUAUCGUAAGAAUAAGGAUCGGCUAACUCCGUGCCAGCAGCCGCGGUAAUACGGAGGAUCCAAGCGUUAUCCGGAAUCAUUGGGUUUAAAGGGUCCGUAGGCGGUUUAGUAAGUCAGUGGUGAAAGCCCAUCGCUCAACGGUGGAACGGCCAUUGAUACUGCUGAACUUGAAUUAUUAGGAAGUAACUAGAAUAUGUAGUGUAGCGGUGAUAUGCUUAGAGAUUACAUG